GAUGAACGCUAGCGGCAGGCUUAACACAUGCAAGUCGAGGGGUAGAGGAAGCUUGCUUCCUUGAGACCGGCGCACGGGUGCGUAACGCGUAUACAAUCUACCUUUUACAGAGGGAUAGCCCCAGAGAAAUUUGGAUUAAUACUUCAUAGUAUUUUCGGAUCGCAUGAUUUGAUUAUUAAAGUUCCAACGGUAAAGAUGAGUAUGCGUCCCAUUAGCUAGAUGGUAAGGUAACGGCUUACCAUGGCAAUGAUGGGUAGGGGUCCUGAGAGGGAGAUCCCCCACACUGGUACUGAGACACGGACCAGACUCCUACGGGAGGCAGCAGUGAGGAAUAUUGGGACAAUGGGCGGCAAGACCUGAUCCAGCCAUGCCGCGUGCAGGAAUAU
rnacentral:rRNA from 1 species